rnacentral:rRNA from 1 species
UACAGAGGGUGCAAGCGUUGUUCGGAAUUACUGGGCGUAAAGAGCGUGUAGGCGGCUUGGUAAGUCCGCUGUGAAAGUCCAGGGCUCAACCCUGGAAUGCCGGUGGAAACUGUCAAGCUUGAGUCCGGAAGAGGCGAGUGGAAUUCCUGGUGUAGCGGUGAAAUGCGCAGAUAUCAGGAGGAACACCAAUGGCGAAGGCAGCUCGCUGGGACGGUACUGACGCUGAGACGCGAAAGCGUGGGGAGCAAACAGG